rnacentral:piRNA from 1 species
UAGCCAGUCAGGAAUCAGUGCCCUAAUU